GUAAGUUAAAGCGACGAUGCUGUGUCGGAGAAAAGCUAAUGAUGGGCGUGUCUUAAGCAAGGGACCAUCGGAUUUGUUGAUGACAAUUUUGGUUAGGAAAGUGAGGGCAGUAGACUUGCUUCUGAUUGGAUAAAAGAAGUAAACAAUAGGCUUUGGAAACAAAUCAGUAAAAGCAUGUUUGUACGGUCUGAAGGACUUUAGCUAGAAAAUGCCUGAGAUUUAUGAUAGGUCCCUAAGACUAUUGAGGCUAUGCCUUAAGGACGUGCGGACAUCUGGUUGCCAUCUUGCCCGCGGUGUGUGGCCUGGUUUAGGACUUUUGGGGGAGAUGUUUCUAGAACAUCCAAAAUUUAAGUUUCAAGGACAUUUGUAAGACUUAGAAAAUGGACGUUGCCAGGACAUGCAAAAUUUAAGUCUCUCGAACAUCUUGGGAAUGUUCACAAUGGAUAUAGGAUGUUCGGAUAUAAACUUAACAUACAAACAUAACAGAGCGCAUCAGAAAAAUAGAAAAAUGACUGCAAGAUAAAAGCAAACUCCAGUCAAUUUAACCACAUUACAUUUACAAUACGAAAACGGAAACCACCUAAUAUCCAAUUGAAUGGCACGCACAUAACACAAACAAACCAAGUUAAAUACUAAGACUCCAUUUAGACUCAUAACUUACACGUAAUCAGCAUACUAAAUCAAUUAUAAACAAAAUACGGAUAAAAUGAGACAGAUGUGCUGGCUAACUAGUCGAAAUUCUAAACUCAGCAUAGAAAAUAAAUUGAAAAUAUCCAAAAUGAUAAUAAAACCAAUUUGGACGUACGGAAUACUACUAUGGGGGAUAGUUGCAAUGAGUCAGGUAAAUAAACCAGAGUCGCUUCUAGAAAAUACUCAGAACAGCAGUCAACGUCCCAUGGAAUAUCAGAAACGGGGAUAUACGCAAAGACCUAAAAAUACUAAUGGUCAAAGGAGAAAUUGGCGGAUACACAAAAAAAUACAAAGAAAAAAUGGCAACACAUCCAAACCAAUUGGCUGCUGAAACGAGCAAAACCCAUAUAAAAAGAAGACAAAAAGGAAAACACCUCACUGACCUCAUUAAGGAAAUAAAAUAGACAUACUGGAAGAUGUUAUCCCGCUGAUGGCAGCCAUCCACAUGUUAUUUAGCAAUAAAGUUAGAAAAAUUUAUCAAAUGUC